UACGUAGGGGGCAAGCGUUAUCCGGAUUCACUGGGUUUAAAGGGUGCGUAGGUGGGCAGGUAAGUCAGUGGUGAAAUCUCCGGGCUUAACCCGGAAACUGCCAUUGAUACUAUCAGUCUUGAAUACCGUGGAGGUAAGCGGAAUAUGUCAUGUAGCGGUGAAAUGCUUAGAUAUGACAUAGAACACCAAUUGCGAAGGCAGCUUACUACCCGAAUAUUGACACUGAGGCACGAAAGCGUGGGGAUCAAACAGG
rnacentral:rRNA from 1 species